rnacentral:rRNA from 1 species
GACGAACCGUGCGAACGUUAUUCGGAAUCACUGGGCUUAAAGCGCGUGUAGGCGGGACGGCACGUCCGUCGCUGAAAUCCCCCGGCUCAACCGGGGAACUGGCGGGGAUACGACCGUCCUGGAGGGACGUAGGGGGACCUGGAAAUUCCGGUGGAGCGGUGAAAUGCGUUGAGAUCGGAAGGAACGCCCGUGGCGAAAGCGAGGUCCUGGACGUUUUCUGACGCUGAGACGCGAAAGCCAGGGGAGCGAACGGG